rnacentral:rRNA from 1 species
CAGCCGCCACGGUAAUACAGAGGGUGCGAGCGUUAAUCGGAUUUACUGGGCGUAAAGCGUGCGUAGGCGGCUUCUUAAGUCGGAUGUGAAAUCCCUGAGCUUAACUUAGGAUUUGCAUUCGAUACUGGGAAGCUAGAGUAUGGGAGAGGAUGGUAGAAUUCCAGGUGUAGCGGUGAAAUGCGUAGAGAUCUGGAGGAAUACCGAUGGCGAAGGCAGCCAUCUGGCCUAAUACUGACGCUGAGGUACGAAAGCAUGGGGAGCAAACAGGAUUAGAGACCCCCGUAGUCCCUGUCUCUUAUAC